rnacentral:sRNA from 2 species
CCAGUAAAGGGCAAUCCCAACCCGUCUGCACAGGAAGCAGAAGCCUCUGCUUUUGCUGUCCACCGUCACUCGCGUCUUCUGCACUUAUCUGAUUGGCUCAACCCAUGGCGAAUGGAAUUCUCCGAUUUGUGCUUUCCGGUGAUUGGCUGUUGGAGGAACAGCGCCCCUGUCAGGUGCCCCGGGAAGAAGUGGGGCAGCCGAAAGGAAGUUAGGGUCCUCACCAUGGUAACAGCGACAAUAUGGGCCAAUAAGACGCCUGGAAAUCCGGGCGACCCCAGCGGCUCAAAAAGUUUAUUCCAACGAAAGGAGC